GACGAACGCUGGCGGCGUGCUUAACACAUGCAAGUCGAACGGAGUUGAGGAGCUUGCUCCUUAACUUAGUGGCGAACGGGUGAGUAACGCGUGAGGAACCUGCCUUUCAGUGGGGGACAACAGUUGGAAACGACUGCUAAUACCGCAUGAUACUAUCGGGCCGCAUGGUCUGGUAGUCAAAGAUUUAUUGCAGAAAGAUGGCCUCGCGUCUGAUUAGCUAGUUGGUGGGGUAACGGCCCACCAAGGCGACGAUCAGUAGCCGGACUGAGAGGUUGACCGGCCACAUUGGGACUGAGAUACGGCCCAGACUCCUACGGGAGGCAGCAGUGGGGAAUAUUGGGCAAUGGGGGAAACCCUGACCCAGCAACGCCGCGUGAAGGAAGAAGGCCCUCGGGUUGUAAACUUCUUUUACCAGGGAUGAAGAACGUGACGGUACCUGGAGAAAAAGCCACGGCUAACUACGUGCCAGCCGCCGCGGUAAUAC
rnacentral:rRNA from 1 species